rnacentral:rRNA from 1 species
AAUGGAGGCAACACUGACCCAGCCAUGCCGCGUGCAGGAAGACUGCCUAUGGGUUGUAAACUGCUUUUAUACAGGAAGAACAGCUCUACGUGUAGAGUCUUGACGGUACUGUAAGAAUAAGGACCGGCUAACUCCGUGCCAGCAGCCGCGGUAAUACGGAGGGUCCAAGCGUUAUCCGGAAUCAUUGGGUUUAAAGGGUCCGCAGGCGGUCAAUUAAGUCAGAGGUGAAAUCCCAUAGCUUAACUAUGGAACUGCCUUUGAUACUGGUUGACUUGAGUCAUAUGGAAGUAGAUAGAAUAAGUAGUGUAGCGGUGAAAUGCAUAGAGAUUACUUAGAAUACCGAUUGCGAAGGCAGUCUACUACGUAUGUACUGACGCUCAUGGACGAAAGCGUGGGGAGCGAACAGGUUU